rnacentral:rRNA from 1 species
CCUACGGGAGGCAGCAGUGGGGAAUAUUGGACAAUGGGCGGAAGCCUGAUCCAGCAACGCCGCGUGAGGGAUGACGGCCUUCGGGUUGUAAACCUCUUUCACCCAUGACGAAGCGCAAGUGACGGUAGUGGGAGAAGAAGCACCGGCCAACUACGUGCCAGCAGCCGCGGUAAUACGUAGGGUGCGAGCGUUGUCCGGAAUUAUUGGGCGUAAAGGGCUCGUAGGCGGUUUGUCGCGUCGGGAGUGAAAACACACAGCUUAACUGUGUGCUUGCUUUUGAUACGGGCAGACUGGAGGUAUGCAGGGGAGAACGGAAUUCCUGGUGUAGCGGUGAAAUGCGCAGAUAUCAGGAGGAACACCGGUGGCGAAGGCGGUUCUCUGGGCAUUACCUGACGCUGAGGAGCGAAAGUGUGGGGAGCGAACAGGAUUAGAUACCCUGGUAGUCCACACCGUAAACGUUGGGCGCUAGGUGUGGGAUCCAUUCCACGGGUUCCGUGCCGCAGCUAACGCAUUAAGCGCCCCGCCUGGGGAGUACGGCCGCAAGGCUAAAACUCAAAUGAAUUGACGG